CCUACGGGAGGCAGCAGUGGGGAAUAUUGCGCAAUGGGCGAAAGCCUGACGCAGCGACGCCGCGUGAGGGAUGAAGGUCCUCGGAUCGUAAACCUCUGUCAGCAGGGAAGAAAGGUCACGGUGCUAAUCAGCAGUGAAUUUACGGUACAUGCAAAGUAAGCACCGGCUAACUCCGUCCCAGCAGCCGCGGUAAUACGGAGGGUGCGAGCGUUAAUCGGAAUUACUGGGCGUAAGGGGCUCCGAGGCGGUAUGUCAAGUCAGGGGUGAAAUCCCCGCGCUCAACGUGGGAACUGCCUUUGAAACUGGCAGGCUGGAGUGCGUGAGAGGGUAGUGGAAUUCCAGGUGUAGGAGUGAAAUGCGUAGAUAUCUGGAGGAACA
rnacentral:rRNA from 1 species